CAGUUUUUGAUUUGUGUUUGUAUAUAUGCAUCAUGGUUUUCAGUGCCAUCAUCAUGUAUAUAAGCUCUGUCUAUUUUUCAUUUUUUUCCUCCUAGAUUGAAAAAAGUAAAAGUUUCGAUAGUUGAUUUAAACAUAUUGUUCAUGGAUGUAGGGGAAGGGGUUGCAACAGAGGAUACAAAUAGCAAAUUUUACAGGAUAUCUACAGGAUUGUCUGACAAAACCCUAUCCCUUUCAGCAGUUACUACUACACUUUACUAUAUUUGGACAUUUUGAGGGU
rnacentral:lncRNA from 1 species